rnacentral:SRP_RNA from 1 species
ACCAGGUAUGGUGGCAUGCACCUGUAGUCCUCACUACUUGAGAGGCUGAGGUGGAAGUUCACUUAAGCCCAGGAGUUCUGGGCUGUAGUGUGCUAUGCCGGUUGGGUGUCUGUACUAAGUUUGACAUCAAUAUGGGGACCACCAGCCUGCCUAAGGAGGAGUAAACUGGCCCAGGUCAGAAACAGAGCAGGUCAAAACUCCUGUGCUGAUCAGUAGUGAGAUCAGGCCUGUGAAUAAUCACUGCCCUCCAGCCUGGACAACAGAGUGAGACUGCAUCUCU